AGGAUGUAGGACUUUCCAUCAGAGAAAGAGAUGAUUUAUAAGACAGUCAUUGGCAUUCGUUGUUAGAGCUCUUUUUUCUCUCUAAACAUAAUUUGCCCUGAGAGAGAAAUAAAAUUCCCCAAGUCAUCUGUGUGAGCAAAUAAGUGGAAAUGAGCUGAGAAGUUUCAUGAUCAAAAUAAGACUGGCCUGAAAAGUGAAAUUUUGCUAUCAUUCUGAUUGUGCAGAAACACUGAAAUCCAUGUUUCCACGUGUGCUUAUUUGCAGAGCUAAUGCCUCCGUGGGUUCAUUUUCAGCAGUUUCUGAAGCCAUUUCAUGGGUGUGAUUUGGGGUGGAAUCUGAGUGAAAGUGAGAGAAAUGCCAAAGGGCUUGUUCUUACUUGCUGCAGAAACAGGAAUCAGAGCAUCUGACAGCACUCCGCUGAGAGUUGUGGGUUAAAUCCCAUGGCACUGUAUUGGCUGUGGCAAAUAGCUCUGGGAAGCUGAGGCAGAAAGAAUUGAAGUGAGCUGGCUGAGUUCGUAAAGGAAAUCUCUGCUGGAAGUGGGAUUGGAGCACAGUUUCCUGAUGGCCAGGGCUGUACUGCAUAGCAGGAAUACAAAGGACUGCUCUGCCCUGCAUUCAGCCCGUUUAAAACUGAGAUGUACGCCCAGAUGACGCAUCAGGAAGAAGAGCACACAUCUCCAUGUAGAUCAUCGACAGCAAAGCACUGGAGCCUGGGAAACUGUUGUUUGUUGUUGUAAAUUAUCUUCCCCACUUCCAGCUGGACUUUGGUUCCAUCGAGUAACGGCUGGUUUAUGAAGAAUAUGUAACUGUUGGAUGCAGAAGUACAGCAAUGAGGGGAUGGGAUUGUCUGCCCUACUCUGGGAAUGUACUGUUCUGAUGCCCACGGCUGCAAUGUGCUUCGUGGUCUUUUGAGUUGCACAGCAUUAGCAAUAGCAGUGAGAUACGGUGGUGUGAGUCUGAGUUGGCAGCUUUCUUUGCAAUUAUGAAAUAAGCACAUGAUGAAUUUUUUGAAGAGAUGAGUAACUUGACUUUGUGUCAUUUCCAUGCUAACAGAUUUUCUUAGAGAAGGACGUGUUUUUCUCUUAUUUUGAGCAGAAAUACAAGAUACAGACAUAUAUUUAAGUGUAAGGUUUAUGUUUGAGUGUAGGUAAUGCAGAAAAAGUCCAACGUGCAUGGUGUAUAUAAUAUUUCCUAAGAACU
rnacentral:lncRNA from 1 species